rnacentral:lncRNA from 1 species
AGUCUUCGGACGGCGGCCUGCGGAGGUCGGGUGAGAGGGUGAUCGCGCUGCUGAAAGCCGACUGCGCCUACGUGGACUGCGGGUUCGCUCCGGGCCGCUCCUCCCUGCUGUUCACGAGGAAACCUAAAGUCUGUGUUGACCCAUGAAACCUGAUCUCGUUCUUUCUCCCCUCCUGAGAGUUUACCAGCUGAGUUUCCUGACUUUUAUAUUCGUUAACACUAACAUAUAUAGAAAUAUAAAUAAAAUACAGUAUACCUGUAUAUGCAAGUUGCAGAACAACACAUAAAAUAACAUAUUCUGUGAGACAAUAAAAAUAUAAGUUCCAAAUAAUAGGUAUUUUCUGCGGGGACUUGUCUGUAUUACAUAUAUAUGUAUGUAUACAUAUUUGUAUGUGUAAAUAUACUAUAUAUACAUAUACGUGUAUGUAUGCAGAAAAUAUAUAUUUAU